AAUGUGACAUUACAGCAUAUACUGUAACAAAUCAAAUUGCAUUGCUAAAAUGUUACCAUUUACCAUUAGAAAUGAACAUGAAGUGAGUUUUAAUGGAAGAUGGUGCUUAGUUAGAGACAGCACAAAUUCAUCAGUCCAAGCUUUUAAGAAGCACUUUUGGUCACAAAGUCUGCAAGUUGCAAUUCUAUAGUGUGAUCAGAAUCAACCAUCAGAUCUGCUGCAAGAAGACUAUGAUUUCCUUUUGCAUCAACUUUGAGUACUUGUCAUUGUGAUUAAAUGGCCAACAAUAGCUGUCACAAUCCCAAGCAAGCCACCAGCAAUAACCUGAGGAGGA
rnacentral:misc_RNA from 1 species